GAUGAACGCUGGCGGCGUGCCUAAUACAUGCAAGUCGAGCGAACGGACGAGAAGCUUGCUUCUCUGAUGUUAGCGGCGGACGGGUGAGUAACACGUGGAUAACCUACCUAUAAGACUGGGAUAACUUCGGGAAACCGGAGCUAAUACCGGAUAAUAUUUUGAACCGCAUGGUUCAAAAGUGAAAGACGGUCUUGCUGUCACUUAUAGAUGGAUCCGCGCUGCAUUAGCUAGUUGGUAAGGUAACGGCUUACCAAGGCAACGAUGCAUAGCCGACCUGAGAGGGUGACCGGCCAGACUGGAACUGAGACACGGUCCAGACUCCUACGGGAGGCAGCAGUAGGGAAUCUUCCGCAAUGGGCGAAAGCCUGACGGAGCAACGCCGCGUGAGUGAUGAAGGUCUUCGGAUCGUAAAACUCUGUUAGUAGGGAAGAACAUAUGUGUAAGUAACUGUGCACAUCUUGACGGUACCUAAUCAGAAAGCCACGGCUAACUACGUG
rnacentral:rRNA from 1 species